rnacentral:lncRNA from 1 species
GCAAUUUGGCAUUUCCAAAAGAGACACAAAAAGGUAUGUACAUAGAAUUUUUCCAAACUUGAUAAGAAAGAAUUGAAGCCGCCGGAGCUCGACUACACUGGCCAUGGUCUUUCAUUAAGUACCUACUAAAACAUAAAUGGAAAAUGGAAAACAAAGGGGCACCUCCACGGGCCGGCGCUGCAGCCGGCCGGCCGCCUCGCACCACGGCUCAGUCCGGUGAAGCUGGCCGGCCGGCCGGCAGCCGGCGGCGUCUGUAUGCGCUUGCGUUUCUCAUCAGGCGGUAGGCUGGCCGACACGCUUCGACAAACGCGCCAGCGGCCACGGUCGUCUACACCGACGUUUGUCGCCGGCAGCGAGCCCAGAUGCUGCGGCUGUCCGCAGCUCGCGGCGGCGGGGCCCGCGGCGCGAGUUAGAGGCGCCGGCGCGCCGGGCGACGUCGCACGCCCGGCGACGACAAGAAGGCAUCGCCG